AAAGAAUAAACUAACUGAGGUAAAUACUAGUAAUGAAUGCUAUAAAUAAAACUAUGAAAUCCUUAGACGUCUACUCUCUGUCUUCCUGCGGGACGGGCUCGGGAACCAAAUCCUCCUGAUCUGAAAUGGUUAAAUAAGGAAUGAGCUAUACUAACCUAAUAAAGAUAUCACACUAUCCCACUGUCACAGAAGUAAAGGUUAGU
rnacentral:lncRNA from 1 species